rnacentral:lncRNA from 1 species
AGAGUAUUGUACCACAAUCCCAGUUGUUUGCAAUAAAUGGCUUGUCUUGAUUUUCCAGAUUAUAGCUAGAAGAUUGCCUCAAACGAUGAAUUGUAGAAUGGAGCAGGAUGUCUGUGUGUCUGCGUCUUCACCCGGGUUUUUCAGGCCAGCCCACAGCCACCACAGAUGACCUGCUGAUGCCUCUGCUGAAAUCCGUGGCCACUGGCCAACAGCUUGACAAGAGUGUCAGCUCCCUCCCGAGACGAAAUCAGAGGAAAACGCCUCUAGUUUCUAAGAAGCACACAGGGAGCCACUUCUUUACCGCUAGCUCCUGCAGGAUCUGUGGGAUCCUGCAGGUGCUGGUUUGCCUCCUGAGCCCUGUCCUAAGGACACUCUGCACAUCGCCUCCUGUAUUCUCAGCAAGCUUUGUCCCCGCCUUCUGCAAAAGCUGUCUUGCUGGUCAGCAGUGACAUCCAUGCUGCUAAAGCCAGUGGAAAUGCUGGGCCUCAUCUUCCUAGAAGCUGCACUUGACCAUGGCCUCCCCAGGCUCUCGUGCCCGCGUUCAGCCCUCACCACCUACCUCUGUGUCCUGAUCAGCUCCCAGGCCAGUACCUCAUCAUCGUGAGUCUGUUCUACAUGAGAGUCCCGCACCGUCUGAAUGCGCUGUGUCUGGCCUGGAUGCUGCACCCUGAUUCCUCAGGGUAACAGUCAUUCACCUUUGGCUGCUCAGCCUCCAAGCCACACGCCAUGGUCAGCCUCGGCCACUAUCACAGCUGGUCCUGGAGGCUGCAGGGCUCCCUCUCUUGGACCCAGUACUCCCACUACUCCCUCCCCAACUGAUAUGGUUUGGCUGUGUCUCCAUCCAAGUCUCAUCUUAAAUUGUAGUUCCCAAAAAUUGCACGUGUUGUGGGAGGGAGUUGUGGGAGAUAAUUUAAUCCUGGGGGGCGGUUUUCCCCAUACUGUUCUCGUGUUAGUGAAUAAGUCUCACCAGAUGUGGUGAUUUCAUAAGUGGU